GACUUCUCCUUCCCCUCUUGCACUUGUCAGCCUACACAAGCUGUGGGUUGUGUCCAUCAGAUCCUCACUGUCCCCCAGGUCUCCCUCCAGCUUACCUUUGACACCAGGAAGUCCCACUUCACCUCGGAGCCCUUGGAGACCUACAGGACCUGCCCAGCAGAAGAAACCAUGCACAGAUGAGUAUCCCUAGCUUUGGAAUGAUGAGACUUGUAUGCACACACAUGCACACAUACAGGCACACACACGCACACACCCUAUAGUAAAAGUCAAAGGAUGCUUUCCAUGGACUCCUUCCCAAGUCCUUUUUAAGUCAUUUUGGCCCAGCUUCCUUGCCCCUGCUGAUGAACAGGCUUUAGAACACAUUGUAGAGCCUUGGCAGAGGCACUGGCCACAGCUCAAGAUUUUCAAGACAGCAGGACGAGCUCUGUGGCCACAGGGGACAAGACAGAGGCAGGUGCUUGCUCAGAUGGAGGCAGGGUGGGGACUUCCAUUUCUGAGGCUGCCGGAGGGUCUCAAGCCUUAAGCCAGGUCAGAAGGGAUCUGAACAGGACACAUCAGGGAGCCCAGCCUCUGCCAUAGAGGACACACAAGCAGACUUGAAUUCUGUAUCUCUGGGAGGCUUGCUUUAUAAUUGCUUCUUUGGCUUUAAAAAUAUUUAGUUUUCCUUUUAACAUUGCCACCUUUGCCCCAGAAAUACAACCUGUUUACAAGAAGCAGCACACUGACCUGGAGGGCCCUGUGGGCCAGGAGAGCCGCUGGAACCUGAGGAGGACGAGACAGCAGUCAGCAGAGGGGCAGAGAGGCUCAAAGGUCUGUGCACCACUCCACCUUACAAUGAACUCUGCUCUGCCCUGCCCCCUGAGCCCCACCCUCCUUACCACCCAACUCUGGGAAGGCUACUGCUCCUAUGACCACUUUCCCUGUGGAUUCCAGGGGUGUCCGAUGGGUCCUCAGCCCUAGGACUGGCCCUGCAGCCCAGCCCAGCCCAUGCCGAACGUCUCCGCAGGGCCUAGCACAGACCCUGACUCAGGACCCAGGAGGCCCUGGCUCACCACGAGGUCCCAUGGGGCCUUCUCGCCCUCUCUGGCCCAUGGGGCCUUCCAUGCCGGGAUCUCCUAAAGACAAGGAUGGCCAGCCUCCAAGUUAGGAUCCCGUGCCCCAGCUAAGGGCUCCACAGGCAGCCUUCCACGGCAGACACUUGCCUGGAGCCCUUCCCUGGCCUCCCCGUUUCUCUCCUGGACCCCAUAGCCUUGGCUCAACCUGGAAGCCAGAGUGGCUCUUUGAAAAUGUUCGGGCACUCUGGCAGCAUCAGUCCCCAUCCCUAACUUGGUCAGGAAAGGUGUGCAGGCUGGAGCCUUGGGGAAGGAGCGCUGCGACAGUGACCCAGGUAUAUGCGAGGGUGUAGGUGGCAAGGAUCUGAAGGGAAAAAAGAGACUCGAGGGCCCCAAAGUGGAAGAGCUGACUUCCUGGACUGGGGUUGCCUAGGAAGUGAGGGGGGAGCUGGAGAGAGGUGGGAUUGUGUCAUCUUGAACGUGGUGCUCAGUAUUCUUCUGGCUGCAGAAUCACCGAGGGUGACUAAGAUAAAGACUCCUGCCCACAUCCAUACCCCCUGAGUCAGAGGCUCGGGGAAUGGGGCUCAAAUUCUUUUGGAGAUUCCUGUGCACACGGAAGCUCUCCAACUCCGGUCAGCUGGACCAAGGAGAGCUGCUCUGUGUCCAACCAAAGGUCCCUGGGAUUGGAAACCUCUCCUCCUCACACGCCUGUCCCAUCUGUUGUCAAAUUACUUCUUGGAGUGCAAGGUCCUGGACUUCCCAUGUCACCUGAAACCAGAAAGAUAUGAAAACUGUGAGACGGGGCAAGAACCCAAAGGCCAUACUCUGCCUUGUAUGGCAGAGUAAAUUGUAUUUCAAGAUACCAUAAGAUCAUUCAACUCUUCAUCCUCCCAUUUAGAACAACGAACCAACAGAUACCAUGAGAUCAUUCAGCUCUUCAUCCUCCCAUUUAAAACAAAGAAAAAGGUUUCUAAUCCAACCAGAAAACUCGCUUCCAACUGCAGGAAAUGAAUCAGAGACAAGGUUCAAUCCAUGGCAAUACCUUUAGGGCCAGGGCUUCCUCGGAGAUUUCCUGCAAGAGAAAGCAAAUCCUGAGUCAGCUUCACAUCUCCUGUCCGUCACACACACACAAGAAGGGGAUCAUGGUAUGGGAAGAAGAAACUGAAGCAAAGACUAGAGAUCAGAUUCUAAAUUUGGCUAGUCCGGUGAUCUUGGGCAAUUCUUUCCAGAACUCAGUUUUCCCAGGAGUAAAGUGGGACCACAGUCUUGGUCCCACCUACCUCUCAGGGCUAUUGAGAGGAUUGGAGGAGGAGAGAGGUUGAGAGUGGGCUCGAUGAUGGUGCCCACAGCACAUGCCCACAUACCACAUAGAUGCAAAGAAGAAAGGGACUCAGGGGAGCUGGCCCUCUGCCCGGCGAUGCUCUCACCAUUUUCCUGUUCCGUCAUUAGCUUGUUCCUCACGAACAUCCAGAGCACCUCCUGGUCGUUGCUGUUCAGCCCAAUUUUGUCCAGGUCUGCUCCCACCGUGGGUGCCAUGCCCUGGAGGCGGGCCUUGCUGCUUCUCUCCAGCUUCUCGUCGGACAGCAUGCUGCUCCUGAACCUCUCCAGCUCGUCCACACGAGCCUUCAGCUUCCUCACCUCCUCGGCUGCAACAAACAGACACAGACUGUGUCACUGAAGGCCCGGUCCUUCGCCUUUCACACACUCGCUCCUCGUGGGGGGCCUGACACAAGGGACUGGGGCCUGUGGUGGCUUCUUCAUGCUAGAAUACUCAUGCAGAGACAAUCCGCCGUGGCCACCAGCAGGAUUAGCUGCUCAGCAUCACAACAGAGCCUUAAAGAAACCUGGCCUGGGAGUCAGUCUUCUCAUAUGAGCUGGGUGACAAAGCUUGUCCUCACUCUCCCUGUGAGGUGGUGUGAGCGCUGAUAGAAAUAGAUAUGGCUGGCCAGGCACGAUGGCUCAUGCCUGUAAUCCCAGCACUUUGGGAGGCCGAGGGGGCCAGAUCACGAGGUCAGGAG